UGGGGAAUAUUGGGCAAUGGGGGAAACCCUGACCCAGCAACGCCGCGUGAGGGAAGAAGGUUUUCGGAUUGUAAACCUCUGUUCUUGGAGAAGAGGAGAAGACGGUAUCCAAGGAGGAAGCCCCGGCUAACUACGUGCCAGCAGCCGCGGUAAUACGUAGGGGGCGAGCGUUGUCCGGAAUGAUUGGGCGUAAAGGGCGCGUAGGCGGCCAGGCAAGUCAGUAGUGGAAGUCCAAUUUUCAAGGUUGGAAGUGCUAUUGAAACUGCAGGGCUUGAGUGCAGGAGAGGUUAUCGGAAUUCCCGGUGUAGCGGUGAAAUGCGUAGAGAUCGGGAGGAACACCAGUGGCGAAGGCGGGUAACUGGACUGCAACUGACGCUGAGGCGCGAAAGUGUGGGGAGCAAACAG
rnacentral:rRNA from 1 species